UAGUCCACGCCCUAAACGAUGAUUACUCGAUGUGUGCGAUACACUGUACGCGUCCAAGCGAAAGCAAUAAGUAAUCCACCUGGGAAGUACGUUCGCAAGAAUGAAACUCAAAGGAAUUGACGGGGGCCCGCACAAGCGGAGGAGCAUGUGGUUUAAUUCGAUGAUACGCGAGGAACCUUACCUGGGCUUAAAUGCAGAACGACGUUCUGGGAAACCAGAAUUUCUUCGGACAUAUUACAAGGUGCUGCAUGGUUGUCGUCAGCUCGUGCCGUGAGGUGUCAGGUUAAGUCCUAUAACGAGCGCAACCCCUGUGGUUAGUUGCCAGCGAGUCAUGUCGGGAACUCUAGCCAGACUGCCGGUGCAAACCGUGAGGAAGGUGGGGAUGACGUCAAAUCAUCACGGCCCUUACGUCCUGGGCCACACACGUGCUACAAUGGUAGGUACAGAGAGCAGCCACUACGCGAGUAGGAGCGAAUCUAUAAAACCUAUCUCAGUUCGGAUCGG
rnacentral:rRNA from 1 species